GUAAGGAAUAUUGGACAAUGGGCGAAAGCCUGAUCCAGCCAUGCCGCGUGUGUGAAGAAGGUCUUCGGAUUGUAAAGCACUUUAAGUUGGGAGGAAGGGCAGUAAGUUAAUACCUUGCUGUUUUGACGUUACCGACAGAAUAAGCACCGGCUAACUUCGUGCCAGCAGCCGCGGUAAUACGAAGGGUGCAAGCGUUAAUCGGAAUUACUGGGCGUAAAGCGCGCGUAGGUGGUUUUGUAAGUUGGAGGUGAAAUCCCCGGGCUCAACCUGGGAACUGCCUCCAAAACUGCAUGACUAGAGUACGGUAGAGGGUAGUGGAAUUUCCUGUGUAGCGGUGAAAUGCGUAGAUAUAGGAAGGAACACCAGUGGCGAAGGCGACUACCUGGACUGAUACUGACACUGAGGUGCGAAAGCGUGGGGAGCAAACAGGAUUAGAUACCCUUGUAGUCC
rnacentral:rRNA from 1 species